CACGUCCUCUCCGGCGCUGCAUCUUCUCCCACUCCCCAGUCUCCUCGAGCUCGCUGUCGCCAAUAUCCCGUCCGCCGUCGUUGCCCCACCUACCCUGUCAUCUUCCACCAAUCCUGCCGACGACCAGCUGCCGCAAACCUCAACGACCCAGGCAGCAGCACCACCAGCAGUAGCACGCGGUGCGCGGCGGCGAGACACGAACAACACUAGCAGUGGCAUCUCAGAGCGUCAAUGUCACGCUAUGGCCGCACGAGCAACGGAAUCUCCCUGCAACGGGAUCCUCUUCCCUUUGAUCGGAUCCAACAAUUCUGACGGGAUCCACCUCUCCUAAAGCCAGGUACUCAACCAUAGCAAAAGUGAUUCAUUCUCUGCACUAAGAUAAGAUGUUAAGAACUCAAUUGGACAGACUACCAGUUAUUUGAGGAAAAUCGUGCCUUACAGCACAAGUUGCAAAACUGCAUUGUCAAUAUUUGAGGCCUGGCUGGAAAUAUAUGAUUCAGCAGUCAUAGUGUCAUUACCAUUGUCGGUGAUGCUCACAUGAGAUCUCUUGGUGGACCAAAACUCCCUGGAACCCUCCUGAGCAACCUAGCAUUAUGUGUGAAUGCCAAUCUUUUGUAUGUCAAGGAUUUCUAGGCAAGCCAAAACUGGUGUGCUUUUUCAGUCAUAAGGAUGCAUCAAGCGAAGAAAAGGUUGUGAUGGUAUCCUGAGAAGCAACCAAUAAAAUGUGAUUGCUGUACAACUUUGAUAUUAGCCUUUUUUGCGGAUAAAUUUGAUAUUAGCCAUUGUUAUGAAUUGUUACACUUGCAGCCGGAGAACUGUGGUUCGCUCGAAAUACACCAGCACGAGCCAUGAACAGAUCGCGAUAUUUCAUUAUGCUUGAAAAUCAGACACCGCUCACCUGUAUAAAAUUCAAUCAUGUAUAACAGUUCUACUAAGGAUUUGAGGAAGCAUGGUAUAUGCUAAUUAAACACUUUCACGUGUUAGCUUGUGCAACCAGAAAAUGCAUUUCUACUUGACAGUCAUGAUAGUUUGUGCUGUUUCUCAUGCCCAUUUGAUGCUAAGAGCUUUUUUACUUAAGUGUGUGCAUGUGUAUGAGUUGGCGUUGCUGAACUAACCCCAUCCUGCUCGUGGACUUCUCUGAUCUGAAGCGCAAGGAGAUACCUCAGCAAGAUAAUUAUGGAUGUUCUCCUCAUAGCCAUGUGCAUCAUCAUGCUCACCCAGCCACCGUGCCAAGGGAGGAUUCCCAGUGGGGCAAGAUGAGAACUCUGAAUCCUCCUGCAAUAAGCUACAUAAACAUGAGCUUUCAGCAGUACUAGAGGAGGCAAGGCCUAGCUAGCUGUUGAACUGGUCUGAAUUUUAUCAUGUCUCGUAUACAUUUAUUCUUUGGAAGAAACCGAUUGACCAUUAUGUUUGCUAUCGCUGAUGCUUUGUGGUUUUUCUUAUGCUUGGCUUUUGUUUCGACCAGAUUUUGUUCUUUGCUGGCACAUGUUGUUGCAUGCAAAGGAGACGCUCAGAGGUCCUAUGAUCAUCACCCGUGAUCCAAUGCAAACAUAAGAUCUUUUUAUAUCUACAAAGAACCACAAAUUUCAGUUUCUAUUUUGUUUGGUUCAAAUUCCUUUCUAAAAAUGAUUAAUUUUGUCAUUGCAAAAAUUCGUUUAGCAAAUCAAACGGAAAGGAGUAGAUAAGGAGAAUCACUGUGUAGUUUUAAAUAGCAUCUACAUUCUGUUUAUAGUUUUACAGAUUCAUCUCUGGCUCGAUCAUGCAAUAUGUAGUGUAGCUGUGUAGUAUAGGGAGUAUGAAGGGAAGACAUACCAUACGUUAUAUAUUAAUAUGUUAAGACACGUUGAAUUUGUUUCUUUCACUUGCAAUGUGACAGGAUUUACCGAGUAAUACUUCCUGCAUAUACUCUCCCUUCUGGCAUAAAGUGGAAGACUCAUUAUGUGGCUACAUCUUACCUGGUUUUGUUUUUAUGUUGAAUCCGUCGAUACAUUAUAUGAUCUUUUUUAGAAAAAUAAGUUGUUGUGUUAUAUAUGCUAGCAAAAGUGCCCGUUUGAAGUCAACAGCCUAUAUACUGACGUCUGAAGUAGUUACUGUUUGUUUACAUACUAUGUAAUGUAUAUCGUUGCUAAAUUAUGAAAUUCAAGUCUUCCAACUAUACACGACUGAAAUAUUAAAUAUUUCUGCUUUGUCCUUUCCUAAUAUUCCAGGCACUUGGGGUAACUGGUAGGUUGGUCAAAUCAUGCCAAAUCGAUUUGUCUGCAGACCAUUUAAGUUUAUAUUGUUGCUCAAACAUUUAUAGAGUCAGUGUCUCUUGGAGGAGUCAUCUUUCUUGCAUACGGUUGACACUAUUAUCAUUAGUAAAUAUCAUUAGUUGAUUGUUUCCUUAAGCCAAGGAAAUAACCAUAGUUUCUGGUGUGAACUUGUGAAAUGCAGAGAAGGAGUUCAUCACAGAGCCGCCACCUGAGCUGCGCUUUAAUGGAUGAGGUCCGAUGACUAGGAGCUAGCAGCAGGUCCUCAGCAAACAUUACUCAUAUCCAGGAGCAUAAUCGAUUAAUGCAUCAACUACAUAGCUAGCCAUCUUUGUAGAGCACAGGUUCCUUCAUAGAUAGCCAGCUUUGUACAUUGCAUUCUCUUUUGUGAAUAAAUACUUCUGUAGUCUUACUUGUUAUAUUAUUAAAUUU